AUUGAACGCUAGCGGCAUGCUUUACACAUGCAAGUCGAACGGUAACAGGCCUUCGGGUGCUGACGAGUGGCGAACGGGUGAGUAAUGCAUCGGAACGUGCCCAGAGGUGGGGGAUAACGCAGCGAAAGCUGUGCUAAUACCGCAUGUGAUCUGAGGAUGAAAGCGGGGGACCAAGCAGCAAUGUUUGGCCUCGCGCCUCUGGAGCGGCCGAUGUCAGAUUAGGUAGUUGGUGGGGUAAAGGCCUACCAAGCCGACGAUCUGUAGCUGGUCUGAGAGGACGACCAGCCACACUGGGACUGAGACACGGCCCAGACUCCUACGGGAGGCAGCAGUGGGGAAUUUUGGACAAUGGGCGCAAGCCUGAUCCAGCAAUGCCGCGUGCGGGAAGAAGGCCUUCGGGUUGUAAACCGCUUUUGUACGGAACGAAAAGGCUCUGGCUAAUACCUGGGGCUGAUGACGGUACCGUAAGAAUAAGCACCGGCUAACUACGUG
rnacentral:rRNA from 1 species